GCAAUGGGGGCACCCUGACCGAGCACGCCGCGUGAGUGAAGAAGGUUUUCGGAUCGUAAAGCUCUGUUGUAAGUCAAGAACGAGUGUGAGAGUGGAAGGUUCACACUGUGACGGUAGCUUACCAGAAAGGGACGGCUAACUACGUGCCAGCAGCCGCGGUAAUACGUAGGUCCCGAGCGUUGUCCGGAUUUAUUGGGCGUAAAGCGAGCGCAGGCGGUUUGAUAAGUCUGAAGUUAAAGGCUGUGGCUCAACCAUAGUUCGCUUUGGAAACUGUCAAACUUGAGUGCAGAAGGGGAGAGUGGAAUUCCAUGUGUAGCGGUGAAAUGCGUAGAUAUAUGGAGGAACACCGGUGGCGAAAGCGGCUCUCUGGUCUGUAACUGACGCUGAGGCUCGAAAGCGUGGGGAGCGAACAGGAUUAGAUACCCUGGUAGUCCACGCCGUAAACGAUGAGUGCUAGGUGUUGGAUCCUUUCCGGGAUUCAGUGCCGCAGCUAACGCAUUAAGCACUCCGCCUGGGGAGUACGACCGCAAGUUGAAACUCAAAGGAAUUGACGGGGGCCCGCACAGCGGUGGAGCAUGUGGUUUAAUUCGAAGCAACGCGAAGAACCUUACCAGGUCUUGACAUCCCGAUGCUAUU
rnacentral:rRNA from 1 species